rnacentral:rRNA from 1 species
UUAAUAAGCGGAGGAAAAGAAACUAACAAGGAUUCCCCUAGUAACGGCGAGUGAACCGGGAAGAGCUCAAAUUUGAAAUCUGGCGUGCUCAGUGCGUCCGAGUUGUAAUCUAUAGAGGCGUUUUCCGUGCCGGACUGUGUCUAAGUCCCUUGGAACAGGGUAUCAAAGAGGGUGAUAAUCCCGUACUUGACACAAUGACCGGUGCUCUGUGAUACGUCUUCUACGAGUCGAGUUGUUUGGGAAUGCAGCUCAAAAUGGGUGGUGAGUUCCAUCUAAAGCUAAAUAUUGGCGAGAGACCGAUAGCGAACAAGUACCGUGAGGGAAAGAUGAAAAGCACUUUGGAAAGAGAGUUAAACAGUACGUGAAAUUGUUGAAAGGGAAACGAUUGAAGUCAGUCGUGACUGAGAGGCUCAGCCGGUUCUGCCGGUGUAUUCCCCUCAGUCGGGUCAACAUCAGUUUUGUUCGGUGGAUAAGGGCAGCUGGAAGGUGGCACCUCCGGGUGUGUUAUAGCCAGCUGUCGCAUACAUCGAAUGAGACUGAGGAAUGCAGCUCGCCUUUAUGGCCGGGGUUCGCCCACGUCCGAGCUAGGAUGUUACAW